AAAGAGGCGGCUGUUGAAGUGUUAAGUUGUAACCUUAAUUAUGGUGAAUUCCCCUCUUUA
rnacentral:tRNA from 1 species